GGGCCGCAGGUGUGGGGCAACCGAGGCCCGGCCUGGGAUCCUCUGCGGGGAGGAGGGAUUCUUAUCCUCUGCUCGUUUAUUUUUAUUUUUAUUUUUUAUUUUUACCUCUGCGCGUUUAAAAGUCGAAGCUUUUCCCACUCGCCGGAGUGCUCGCUCCCCAGCGAUCAGUCGAGGACUCCCUAAUGCCGGUCGCUUACUCCUCCCACCAACCCCGGGGUUGGGUCUAUCGUUAGCCCCACGUUACAGAUUUCUUCACUUAAAAAAAAAACAACAACACAAAAAAAUAGGAGCUCCACAAGAGUGAAGUGUUUCCAUAAACUGAUGAACAAAAAUAGAUCCAGAGACAAAUGGCAGGGGAGUGUUUCGGGGCUCACUUCACCUCUGAGAGACCCUGUCCCCAGCUACCCAGUCACCCUGUGCUACACCAGGCAUCACCCUUAUUUCCCUGAACACCCUGUAUGGAUUUUCUUCAUUUUUAAAAAGUUUGAGAAGAGGAAGAAGAAAAAGGUAAAGAUAAAAAUU